AGGAGCGGAAUGAAACCAAAGUCUCAUGUUCGGUUUUGAAUUAGAGAUGCUAAAAAGGAUGAAUUGACUUGGACUAUAAC
rnacentral:sRNA from 1 species